CCAAGUUUGAAGAUUUCUGGAGUAGAACAUCAAGAUAAGAGAAUCUCCUUUAUAUUAAGCCUCAGAUUCCCCAUUACAUUAAUAGAACAAAAUCACCAGAAUGGAUUUAUGCUGACUGACUUCAAUGUAACUUAAAAAUAGCUAACUUUUUCUGCGUUGGAAUUGUUUGAAGUUUCUUUCCCCUGAUUGUCUAAUGUAAUUCAGUGAGUCAUAGACUAUUAUGUACAAAUCAUACUAUGCAGAAAAAUACAGUGUCUACAUUGGUAAAACAA